rnacentral:rRNA from 1 species
AGCGAACGCUGGCGGCAGGCCUAACACAUGCAAGUCGAACGGACCUUUCGGGGUUAGUGGCGGACGUGUGAGUACCACGGGGUAACGUACCUUUAGGUACGGAAUAAUUCAGGGAAACUUGUGCUAAUACCACUUGUGCUCUUAGGGGGAAAGAUCUAUCGCUUUUUGAUCGGCGCGCGUAUGAUUAGCUAGUUGGUUAUGGUAUUGGCUCACCUAGGCGUCGAGCAGUGGCUGGUCUGGGAGGAUGAUAAGCCGCAUUGGGACUGAGACACGGUCCAAACUGCGACGGGAGGGAGCAGUAGGGAGUCUUACGCAAGGGGCGAUAGCCUAACAAAGCCAUGCCGCGUGAAUGAUGAAGGUCUUAGGAUUGUAAAAUUCUUUCACCGGGGACGAGAAUGACGGUACUCGGAGAAGAAGCCCCGGCUAACUACGUG